rnacentral:lncRNA from 1 species
AUAAAACCUAAAUGACUCAAACUAGGAAGUGUGUCUCCUACGGUCGAAUCGGAAUGACCUAAACUAGGAAGUGCACCUCCUAUUGGUAAUGACAUGCCUGCAUUUAUACUUGUGGGCAACCUAGAAUAUGGAAUGAACAGACAAAAUGUAUUCCCGCAUUAUACUGGUGGGCGACCUAGAGCUGAAAUAUAUUCCCGCAUUUUACUGGUGGACGACCUAGAACUGAAAUGUAUUCCCGCAUUAUACUGGUGGACGACCUAGAACAUAAAUGUAUUCCCGCAUUAUACUGGUGGGCGACCUAGAACUUAAAUGUAUUCCCGCAUUAUACUGGUGGGCGACCUAGAACUUAAAUGUAUUCCCGCAUUAUACUGGUGGGCGGCCUAGAACUUAAAAGUAUUCCCGCAUUAUACUGGUGGACGACCUAGAACUUAAAAGUAUUCCCGCAUUAUACUGGUGGGCAACCUAGAACAUAAAUGUAUUCCCGCAUUAUACUGGUGGGCGACCUAGAACUUAAAUGUAUUCCCGCAUUAUACUGGUGGGCGACCUAGAACUUAAAUGUAUUCCCGCAUUAUACUGGUGGGCUACCUAGAACUUAAAUGUAUUCCCGCAUUAUAUUGGUGGGUGACCUAGAAAUUAAAAGUGAAAGGACAGAAAUGUAUGCCUCUGUUAUAUGGGCGGGCUCCCAACUUCAAUACUAACCUAGGAGGAAAUGCCUCUCCUAUGGGUAAACCUUGGAGGAAAUGCGUC